UAGAGCUGUAACUUCGGGAUAAAAGCUUGGCUCUGAUGAAAAUCAGAACCGAUUGUUACGCGGAGAGCCCAACUGUUAAAUAAAAACGUAGUGUCGCGCUGUGGUAGUAUAGCCAGUGAACGCGACAUGAAUCCUGCUCAGUGCUGUGUCUGUUAAUAUGGUUCAAGCCAACGAAGCACCGGUAAAUAGCUGGGGUAACUAUGACUCUUAUCAAAGUAGCGAAAUACCUCGUCACUUAAUUAGUGACCUGCAUGAACGGAGCUAUGAGGUUCUCACUGUCCCAAACUGUCUCUCAGCGAACCAACUGUAGUGGGAACGGUCACUAGAUAUCCAGCGGGGAAAGAAGACCCUGUAGAGCUUCACUUUGGUCUAGUCUUGUAUAGUUCCUGCGGGGGUGUAGACUAGGUGGGAGAGCAAUCGAUUCUGAAAAACCACUACCCUGUUUGGAAUUAUGCUUACCUAUCACAAGGAAUAGGACUAGAUAGAAAGUUUGGCUGGGGCGGCACACCUUCGAAAGAGCAGCGAAGGUGUCCUAAGUUGAGCUCAGUGAGGACAGAAAUCUCACGUUGAGGAUAAGGCCAAAAGCUCAAUUUACUGUGCCUUUUUGUACUAGGAUCAGUUACGAAAGUAAGGCCUAACGAUCCCUAAAUAGCCUCAGGUGCGUGAGGAUUGGGGUGACAGACAAGUUACCUCCGGGACAACUGGCUUGUGGCUGCUAAGAGAUCAAAUCAACGCAGCUUUUUGAUUCUUCGAUGUCGGCUCUUCCUAUCCUAGUGAUGUACAAGUUGCUAAGGGUCGGAUUGUUCACCCGUAUUAGGGAUCGUGAGCUGGGUUUAGACCGUCGUGAGCCAGGUUUGUUUUAUCCUACUGGAUAUAGCAUCAUGAUAGUAGAUUGAUUUAGUACGAGAGGAACUGUUGAUUAUGGCCUCUGGUUAGCGAUUAUCGGAAACGGUAUGUAGCGCAGCUACGCCGUCUGGGAUAAUGGCUGAAAGCCUCUUAAGCCAGAAGCCCA
rnacentral:ncRNA from 2 species